UACGAAGGGGACUAGCGUUGUUCGGAUUUACUGGGCGUAAAGCGCGCGUAGGCGGAUCGCUAAGUCAGGGGUGAAAUCCCAGGGCUCAACCCUGGAACUGCCUUUGAUACUGACGGUCUGGAGAUCGGGAGAGGUUGGUGGAAUUCCGAGUGUAGAGGUGAAAUUCGUAGAUAUUCGGAGGAACACCAGUGGCGAAGGCGGCUCACUGGUCCGGUACUGAUGCUGAGGUGCGAAAGCGUGGGGAGCAAACAGG
rnacentral:rRNA from 1 species